GACGAACGCUGGCGGCGUGCUUAACACAUGCAAGUCGAACGGUAAGGCCCUUCGGGGUACACGAGUGGCGAACGGGUGAGUAACACGUGGGUGAUCUGCCCUGCACUUCGGGAUAAGCCUGGGAAACUGGGUCUAAUACCGGAUAGGACUCCUGGCUUCCUGGUUGGGGGUGGCAAGCUUUUGCGGUGUGGGAUGGGCCCGCGGCCUAUCAGCUUGUUGGUGGGGUAAUGGCCUACCAAGGCGACGACGGGUAGCCGGCCUGAGAGGGUGACCGGUCACACUGGGACUGAGAUACGGCCCAGACUCCUACGGGAGGUAGCAGUGGGGAAUAUUGCACAAUGGGCGCAAGCCUGAUGCAGCGACGCCGCGUGAGGGAUGACGGCCUUCGGGUUGUAAACCUUUUUCAGCUAUGACGAAGCGCAAGUGACGGUAGUAGCAGAAGAAGGACCGGCCAACUACGUGCCAGCAGCCGCCGUAA
rnacentral:rRNA from 1 species